rnacentral:rRNA from 1 species
UACAGAGGUCUCAAGCGUUGUUCGGAUUCAUUGGGCGUAAAGGGUGCGUAGGCGGCGCGGUAAGUCGGGUGUGAAAUUUCGAGGCUUAACUUCGAAACUGCAUUCGAUACUGCCGUGCUUGAGGACUGGAGAGGAGACUGGAAUUUACGGUGUAGCGGUGAAAUGCGUAGAUAUCGUAAGGAAGACCAGUGGCGAAGGCGGAUCUCUGGACAGUUCCUGACACUGAGGCACGAAGGCCAGGGGAGCAAACAGG